rnacentral:rRNA from 1 species
CCUACGGGAGGCAGCAGUAGGGAAUCUUUCACAAUGGGGGAAACCCUGAUGCAGCGACGCCGCGUGCGUGAAGAAGUAUUUCGGUACGUAAAGCGCUAUCAGAAGGGAAGAAAAUGACGGUAACUGACGAAUAAGCACUGGCUAACUACGUGCCAGCAGCCGCGGUAAUACGUAGGGGGCAAGCGUUAUCCGGAUUGACUGGGUGUAAAGGGAGCGUAGACGGCAGCGCAAGUCUGGAGUGAAAUCCCAUGGCUUAACCAUGGAACUGCUUGGGAAACUGUGCAGCUAGAGAGCAGGAGAGGUAAGCGGAAUUCCUAGUGUAGCGGUGAAAGCCGUAGAUAUUAGGAGGAACACCAGUGGCGAAGGCGGCUUACUGGACUGUAACUGACGUUGAGGCUCGAAAGCGUGGGGAGCAAACAGGAUUAGAUACCCGGGUAGUC